AACGUAGGAGGCGAGCGUUAUCCGGAGUUACUGGGCGUAAAGCGCGUGUAGGUGGAUCGGUAAGUUACUUAUAAAAGCUCCUGGCUAAACUAGGAGAGGUUGAGUGAUACUGCCAGUCUUGAAUAGAGGAGAGGUUGACGGAAUUCCGCGUGUAGUGGUGAAAUGCGUAGAGAUGCGGAAGAACACCAGUGGCGAAGGCGGUCAACUGGCCUCAUAUUGACACUCAGACGCGAAGGCAUGGGUAGCGAACGGG
rnacentral:rRNA from 1 species